rnacentral:lncRNA from 1 species
GCAUGCGCUCCAGCAGGUAUAUUUCACUGGUAACGUUACUCAUUUCAUAACCUUUAUGGUGUUAUAUUCAAUCGUGCUUAUGUAGCUAGCUACAUUCUUCUAUUAGCUCUGUAAAACAAUGCUAAUUGCGUCAGAGAAGUAUUAGCUUGUUGUAUUUUGACGCUACCCUGUCCUUACGACUCCCAAGUGGCACAGCAGUCUAAGGCACAGCAUCUCCGUGCUCGAGGCGUCACUACAGACACCCUGGUUCAAAUCCAGGCUGUGUUUCUAUCAAAGUAAGUGCCUUAUUACGUUAUAAAAGUUUCUGUAUGUGAUUUGUAUGCAAACUGUACGUCCAAUUACAAAAAAUAACUUAUUCAGUAAUCAUCUCACCUGUUAGUUGGUGGUGAACUAUGUGGCCAUUGAGGGCAGCAGUGUUGAUCAGAUGGAAAAAUAUAUUCUUAUACCACUUGGUAGUUUUCCGAGCGCAUUCCACAAAGCUGUUUAUCAUGUCCACCUUAUCCACUGCCCCCAUUUGGAGGUUAUACCCAAGCACACAGUCUGGUUAGAUUUUUCUCUCUCCCGUCAGGUGGUCCACCUUCCCUGUGGCUGACAUGGUUGCUGUAUGGACAGUGGAGAGGAUAUGGAUAUCUCGUUGGUCAUGCCAUUUUACUGCCAGCUGUUAACCGUUCUCCUUGAACUCCACCUCCCCUCUCUGCAUCUUCCUGCAUCUGAAUACUGGCAUCCCCUUCCUGUUCGACCUGACUGUGCCACAGGCCCCUGUGCUGUUGGAGAGCAGAUGCUGGAAGAGUGUGGGACUGCUGUACCAAUUGUCCACAUACAAAGUGUGUCCCUUGCUGAGAUGAGGAGCCAGCAUGGCCAUCACCACGGACCUGGACACCCCAAGCCCCUCAUAAUGUUGGAUGUCAGUGGUGGAACCUGUGUAGACUAUAAUGUCCUGGACAAAUCCUGUCUUCACGUUGCUCAUGACAAAGAACUUGACCCCAAACCUGUGCCUUUUGGAGGGAAUAUAUUGACGAAACGCCAGCCUACCUUUCCAUAACAUACAUGAAGGGCACAUUUUGGCAUUUGCUAAAUGAUCGAUGACAAACUCCAUAUUGCAAAUGUACAGUCCCUUACUAGACGUCCGCGAUUGUUUGUAAAAUUCGCGGAUGGCAUCGGGCCGUUUACCGGGGCCCGCUCUUCCGGGAAGUCAUCGAACGAAGUCUCUCGGACAUUCGGUUUCUGUUUUAUAAAAUGUUCAAAUUUUGGUCAUUUUUCCGCUGUCCCGGUAAAUUCCGGCAGAUAGCGAAUGGAAUCUUAUUGCAAAUGUACAAAACAUCACCAAUCACGACAUGGCCAUUUCUUCUGAACGGAAAAGACUUCAAAGACAACUUGCUCCAAGGCACAGCGAUUGGUCUCCUCUACUAUGUCUCCCACCAGCUCCUCUGUUAGAAAUGCCAAGGGGUGUUGCACUCCAGGCUGGGACUCAUCAAAGCAAACAGCAGGGCCAGGAGGGGUGAAAUGGCUGGCGGCCUUCCAGCUACCACAGAACUCCUGUACUUCAUCCACUGUUGGUCUGCCUCCAUCACCACCAGCAUCUUCAAAGGGACCUAUGUCUUCGUCAGUGGACAAGGAAUCCUCAGAUUCAGGGUUCUCAAUGGCUACAAGGUUGGGGGGCAGCUCCUCACUGUCACUGUCAGAAUCUGAUUCCUGACUUUCAGACUAAUUGUCAGAAUUGAAAAAAUCUCCAGAAUUUCUGCAUUUGUGAGUUGUCUCCUUUUGAAAAACAUAGCUAAUGCUACAGCUUAUCUCACUAGCUAUAUACAUAAACAACAACACUGAAUGGCUCAGUGGGAGUGAGAGGUUACGUGAAUGACUGCCAUGCCACUUGUAUCAAUAAAUCACUCAGAAAAUGUUUUGUGUGGUAAUUAUUGAUACAUUUACUGUUUUAUUCACAUGUUUUCAAGUACUAUUGACAAAUCAUGCAUUCCGAUUCUUGCGGAGAUUGUAAUGGGCACAUAUUAUGUGUGUAAAAUACUUUUUUGAAGGUUGUACUGAUUCUGAUGAGCUAAGCUAAUUCCAGCUAUGUGUGGAGCCAUGUUUGUUGACAUACAAUGCAUUCUGGGUGUCACGUAAUUUUCUGUCGGACCAAAGAUGUUAUAACAAAAUUAGGUGAGUAAGGGUUCACAAAUUUUUUGAGAACUUCGGAAGUGAAUGGUGGGAUGUGAACGAUGGUAGACAACACACCCCCUUCAACACGCAUACUAUAAACAGACCAAACUCAUCUUGUCUUCUCUUAUUAUCUUUGGUUUCUCUGAGAAAAUAAAAACAUGGAGGCGUGCAGAAACUACCCAUCGUCGGAUUACUUUCGAUUUAUAUAAAGUGUUUUACUCAAUUAUUUCGGUCAAUGCUGAGCUCACCCGUGAUGUGAUUAAUUAUAAUAGUAAUUGCUAUUAGCUAAUUCAUAUUGUAGUUUAUGUCAGGCGAGAGUUAUAAAAAUAUGACCGCUUGUGUUAUGUCAAUCUUUCCUCAGUUAGCGCUAGGACAAAUGUAGCCUACAUUUUUUUCGGUUUGGAUGAUUGUGUUAUGCUGUAGAUACUUCUGUGAAUGUCUGAACAUUGCAUCUAAAAAUAAACUGCUCACAUUGUGGACAUAA